rnacentral:misc_RNA from 1 species
CCAAUAGCGUAUAUUAAAGUUGUUGUGGUUAAAAAGCUCGUAGUUGAACCUUGGGCCUGGCUGGCCGGUCCGCCUCACCGCGUGUACUGGUCCGGCCGGGCCUUUCCCUCUGUGGAACCUCAUGCCCUUCACUGGGUGUGACGGGGAAGCAGGACUUUUACUGUGAAAAAAUUAGAGUGCUCCAAGCAGGCCUAUGCUCGAAUACAUUAGCAUGGAAUAAUAAAAUAGGACGUGCGGUUCUAUUUUGUUGGUUUCUAGGACCGCCGUAAUGAUUAAUAGGGACAGUCGGGGGCAUCAGUAUUCAAUUGUCAGAGGUGAAAUUCUUGGAUUUAUUGAAGACUAACUACUGCGAAAGCAUUUGCCAAGGAUGUUUUCAUUAAUCAGGAACGAAAGUUAGGGGAUCGAAGACGAUCAGAUACCGUCGUAGUCUUAACCAUAAACUAUGCCAACCAGCGAUCGGCUCCUGUUCUUUCUUAGACGGGGCCGGCAGCUUCUG